rnacentral:rRNA from 1 species
AUUGAACGCUGGCGGCAUGCUUUACACAUGCAAGUCGAACGGCAGCGCGGGGCAACCUGGCGGCGAGUGGCGAACGGGUGAGUAAUACAUCGGAACGUACCCAGAAGUGGGGGAUAACGUAGCGAAAGUUACGCUAAUACCGCAUACGUUCUACGGAAGAAAGUGGGGGACCUUCGGGCCUCAUGCUUUUGGAGCGGCCGAUGUCUGAUUAGCUAGUUGGUAGGGUAAAGGCCUACCAAGGCGACGAUCAGUAGCUGGUCUGAGAGGACGACCAGCCACACUGGAACUGAGACACGGUCCAGACUCCUACGGGAGGCAGCAGUGGGGAAUUUUGGACAAUGGGCGCAAGCCUGAUCCAGCAAUGCCGCGUGGGUGAAGAAGGCCUUCGGGUUGUAAACUGCUUUUGUACGGAACGAAACGGCCCUUUCUAAUAAAGAGGGCUAAUGACGGUACCGUAAGAAUAAGCACCGGCUAACUACGUGCCAGCAGCCGCGGUAAUACGUAGGGUGCGAGCGUUAAUCGGAAUUACUGGGCGUAAAGCGUGCGCAGGCGGUUCUAUAAGACAGAUGUGAAAUCCCCGGGCUCAACCUGGGAAUGGCAUUUGUGACUGUAGAGCUAGAGUACGGUAGAGGGGGAUGGAAUUCCGCGUGUAGCAGUGAAAUGCGUAGAUAUGUGGAGGAACACCGAUGGCGAAGGCAAUCCCCUGGACCUGUACUGACGCUCAUGCACGAAAGCGUGGGGAGCAAACAGGAUUAGAUACCCUGGUAGUCCACGCCCUAAACGAUGUCAACUGGUUGUUGGGUGCAUUAGUACUCAGUAACGAAGCUAAC